GCCAGCAUAGCUUAGUGGUUUGAGCAUUGGACUAUGACUCUAGAGAUCACAGUUCAAUUCCUCACUCAGCCA